rnacentral:rRNA from 1 species
CACGUAGGGGGCGAGCGUUGUCCGGAUUUAUUGGGCGUAAAGAGCUCGUAGGCGGUUUCGUUAGUCGGGUGUGAAAACUCCAGGCUCAACCUGGAGACGCCACCCGAUACUGCGAUGACUAGAGUCCGGUAGGGGAGUGUGGAAUUCCUGGUGUAGCGGUGAAAUGCGCAGAUAUCAGGAGGAACACCAACGGCGAAGGCAGCACUCUGGGCCGGAACUGACGCUGAGGAGCGAAAGCGUGGGUAGCAAACAGG